rnacentral:rRNA from 1 species
GAGAUUUGAGAGGGGCUGCUCCUAGUACGAGAGGACCGGAGUGGACGAACCUCUGGUGUUCCGGUUGUCACGCCAGUGGCAUUGCCGGGUAGCUAUGUUCGGAAGCGAUAACCGCUGAAAGCAUCUAAGCGGGAAGCGCGCCUCAAGAUGAGAUCUCCCGGGGCACAAGCCCCCUGAAGGAACCAUGUAGACUACGUGGUUGAUAGGUCAGGUGUGUAAGUACAGCAAUGUAUUGAGCUAACUGAUACUAAUGAUCCGUGCGGCUUGACCAUAUAACCUCA